rnacentral:rRNA from 1 species
CGACGCGCUUACCUGCAGUCGAACGGCAGCAUGAUCUAGCUUGCUAGAUUGAUGGCGAGUGGCGGACGGGUGAGUAACGCGUAGGAAUAUGCCUUGAAGAGGGGGAUAACCUGAGGAAACUCAGGCUAAUACCGCGUAAUCUCUGAGGAGAAAAGCUGGGGACCUUAUGGCCUGGCGCUUCAAGAAUAGCCUGCGUUCGAUUAGCUAGUUGGUGGGGUAAAGGCCUACCAAGGCGACGAUCGAUAGCUGGUCUGAGAGGAUGAUCAGCCACACUGGGACUGAGACACGGCCCAGACUCCUACGGGAGGCAGCAGUGGGGAAUAUUGGACAAUGGGGGCAACCCUGAUCCAGCAAUGCCGCGUGUGUGAAGAAGGCCUGAGGGUUGUAAAGCACUUUCAGUGGGGAGGAGGCUUGAUAGGUUAAGAGCUAAUUAAGCGGACGUUACCCACAGAAGAAGCACCGGCUAACUCCGUGCCAGCAGCCGCGGUAAUACGGAGGGUGCGAGCGUUAAUCGGAAUUACUGGGCGUAAAGGGUGCGUAGGUUGUUCAUUAAGUUAUCUGUGAAAUUCCCGGGCUUAACCUGGGGUGGUCAGAUAAUACUGGUGGACUAGAGUAUAGGAGAGGGUAGUGGAAUUUCCGGUGUAGCGGUGAAAUGCGUAGAGAUCGGAAGGAACACCAGUGGCGAAGGCGGCUACCUGGCCUAAUACUGACACUGAGGCACGAAAAGCGUG